CUAGUAGUACAUAGGCUUCUUUCACAACGCCGUCAUUCUAUCUCCUCCCUCCCUUCCUUGAUAAAGAUGAACCCUUUUUUUUUAUUUUUUUUCUGAUUUAAUUUCAACACCUUCAAAAUAAAAAGUUGAAGCUCCCACCCACAAAUUUGGCGCAGGACCGCGCAGUCAGACUCAUUACACAGCUGUCUGAGGUGAACGGAACACAAGCCCACAUCGAAACGAUGCCGUCGAAGCUUUUAACCACCGCCCUCCGCCGCACGAUCUUAAAACCCACAAUCCUCCGCCCCUUCUCCACCGCCGCUGCCGCCGUUGCUGAACCCUAUCAAGAAGACACAUCAGGAAUUACGGUGAAAGGCGUAAAAAUCUCCGGAAGACCCCUCUACCUCGACAUGCAAGCUACCUCGCCGGUGGACCCUCGGGUCCUCGACGCCAUGCUCCCUUACUAUCUCUCCCGCUUCGGCAACCCUCACUCCCGGACCCACCUCUACGGCUGGGAAUCCGACCAGGCCGUCGAGUCUGCCCGAACCCACGUGGCAGACCUAAUUAGCGCCUCCCCUAAGGAGAUCAUUUUCACCUCCGGCGCCACCGAGUCCAAUAACAUCUCCGUCAAGGGGGUUUUGCAUUUUUAUAAGGAUAAGAAGCGCCACGUCAUCACUACCCAGACGGAGCACAAGUGCGUCUUGGACUCCUGCCGUCACCUCCAGCAAGAGGGUUUUGAGGUAACUUAUCUUCCUGUUGAACCUGACGGGCUCGUUGAUUUGGAUAAGCUUCGGGCCGCGAUACGGCCCGACACGGGGUUAGUUUCGGUUAUGAUGGUUAAUAAUGAGAUUGGAGUGAUUCAACCUGUCGAGGAAAUUGGGAAAAUCUGCAAGGAAUUUAAUGUUCCGUUUCAUACCGAUGCUGCCCAGGCUUUGGGGAAAAUUCCCAUAGACGUCGAUAAGAUGAAUGUCAGUUUGAUGUCUUUGAGCGGGCAUAAGAUUUAUGGGCCUAAGGGAAUUGGGGCUUUGUACAUGAGGCGCAGACCGAGGAUCCGCGUGGAGCCUCAAAUGAAUGGGGGCGGGCAAGAGAGAGGGAUAAGGAGUGGAACUGUGCCAACUCCCUUGGUUGUGGGCUUUGGGGCUGCUUGUGACAUCGCUAAGAAGGAAAUGGAGUACGAUGACAAGAGGAUUAAGGCUUUGCAAGAGAGGUUGUUGAAUGGAAUUAGGGAUAAGAUUGAUGGGGUGGUAGUGAAUGGUAGCGUGGAGUGGAGGUAUGCAGGCAAUUUGAACUUGUCGUUUGCUUAUGUUGAGGGGGAAAGCUUGUUGAUGGGGUUGAAGGAGGUCGCCGUGUCGAGUGGUAGCGCUUGUACUAGUGCGAGCUUGGAGCCCUCGUAUGUAUUGAGGGCAUUGGGUGUGGAAGAGGACAUGGCACAUACGUCUAUUAGGUAUGGGAUUGGGAGGUUCACUACGGAGGAAGAGAUUGACAGGGCUGUGGAGCUAACUGUAAUGCAGGUUGAGAAGUUAAGGGAAAUGAGCCCUCUUUAUGAGAUGGUGAAGGCUGGGAUAGAUUUGAAGAGUAUACAAUGGUCACAGCACUGAUUGGGUGGAGGCUCCAAACUUGCGAUAACUGAACCUCUAAAUGUGCCAUGGAGCAGCUACUUCCUGGGCUUAUGGGCGUCUCACUGGUGUUGUCUGACAUUACUCUUUGGAUGCAAUUCAUACUCAUAGGAAAAGAAGGAAGCCCUUUGACAUUCAGUAGCAAUAGGUGUAGGACGUACGCGUUAGUGAUGGAGGAACAUGCAGCAGCUAAGAGGAAAUAAAAUGUUUGUACUUUUGGAAGCGAUCACAUGUAGGUUUGUCUGUGAUCAAAUAAAAAGCUUUGUCUGUUGCAUGUCAUUUUGCUGAGCUUGUGCACUAUUUUGCCCACGCACAAGGAGUUCAUUUGCGUUAAGUUUCUUGCUCGGUACUAUUGAUGUAUCUCCUUGGCGUGGAACGAUGAGCAGUACAUUCCUUGUG